GCCGGGCAUGGUGGCGCAUGCCUGUAAUCCCAGCUCCUCAGGAGGCUGAGGCAGGAGAAUCGCUUGAACCCAGGAGGCAGAAGUUGCAGUGAGCCGAGAUCGCGCCACUGCACUUCAGCCUGGACAACACAGCAAGACUCUGUCUCAA
rnacentral:SRP_RNA from 1 species